rnacentral:rRNA from 1 species
AUUGAACGCUGGCGGCAUGCUUUACACAUGCAAGUCGAACGGUAACAGGCCGCAAGGUGCUGACGAGUGGCGAACGGGUGAGUAAUGCAUCGGAACGUGCCCAGUCGUGGGGGAUAACGCAGCGAAAGCUGUGCUAAUACCGCAUACGAUCUAUGGAUGAAAGCGGGGGACCGUAAGGCCUCGCGCGAUUGGAGCGGCCGAUGUCAGAUUAGGUAGUUGGUGGGGUAAAGGCCUACCAAGCCGACGAUCUGUAGCUGGUCUGAGAGGACGACCAGCCACACUGGGACUGAGACACGGCCCAGACUCCUACGGGAGGCAGCAGUGGGGAAUUUUGGACAAUGGGCGCAAGCCUGACCCAGCAAUGCCGCGUGCAGGAUGAAGGCCUUCGGGUUGUAAACUGCUUUUGUACGGAACGAAACGGUGAGCUCUAAUACAGUUUGCUAAUGACGGUACCGUAAGAAUAAGCACCGGCUAACUACGUGCCAGCCGCCGCGGUAAGAC